rnacentral:rRNA from 1 species
AGGACGAACGCUGGCGGCGUGCUUAACACAUGCAAGUCGAGCGAGGCCCUUCCUUCGGGAAGGUGCCCUAGCGGCGAACGGGUGAGUAACACGUGGGCAACCUGCACCUAGCACUGGGAUAACUCCGGGAAACCGGGGCUAAUACCGGAUAUGACCUUUGAGGGCAUCCUCGAAGGUGUAAAGGAUUCUGGCUAGGGAUGGGCCCGCGGCCUAUCAGCUUGUUGGUGGGGUAAUGGCCUACCAAGGCGACGACGGGUA